GUACGGGCUGAGUCUGGCUGUGUUUUUAGGGUCCUGCUGGUUCUGAGGGUUCUCUGUUCUUGUAUUAUUAGUUUAACCCGGGUUUUCUCAGAGCAGCAUGUCGGAGGAGGCAGGACCAAGUGGGCACUCCCAGUCCCAGACCCAGUCUCAGCCUCAGUCCAGCUCAUCCUCCGGACCCACCUCGGCCAGCCAGUCCUCCUCAGGCUCUGGAACAUUGAGUUCUGUGGACACCGUUCCUGUGGCAGACCUUUCCUCCAUCCCUGAGGAACCUGAAGAACCUGAGCCCAAGUACUGGGGGCGCAUGGUUCCGCUAAUCAGGGGAUUCAACCUUCUGAAUUGUGUGGAUAACGUGUACUGUUUCGGAAGGGACAGCCGAUGCGACUAUGCUUUUAAAGAUCCAGCCAUUCUCAAUUCUCCACGCUAUAAAACCUAUAGCAAAAGACAUUUUAAAAUAUUUCGGGACGGGGAUUUAGCUUAUUUGCAGGACCUCAGUGGGAAUGGUACAUGGGUAGAUGACACUGAAGUGGGAAAAGGGAAAAAAAUCCCUCUUAAUAACAACUCUGUUGUUUCUCUCGCCGACCCGAAGCAUAAAGUUUUUAUGUAUGUAGACAUGAACCACGAUGAGCAGCCGAAUUUCCCCAAAGAGUUCAGAGAGAAAUAUCACGUCACACGGAAGAUCGGCUCUGGGGUGUGCGGGGAGGUGAGGCUAGCGAUCGAAAGAGAGACGUGCAAAAAAGUCGCUUUAAAGACGAUCAACAAAAACGACUUUCCUUCAGUUGGGACUGCCACGAGGAAUGCGGAACGGGAGAUCGAGAUACUAAAAAAAAUUGAUCACCCUUGUCUGAUUCGUACCGAAGAUUUUUACCAGACAGAGGAGUCGUAUUACAUCGUUUUGGAGUACGUAGAAGGUGGGGAACUCUUCACAAAAAUUAAGACAGAAAAGCAGCUGAAGGAGGAAAUUGCCAAGUUAUAUUUUUAUCAGAUGCUGAAGGCUGUAGAGUAUCUACACGAAAAUGGAAUCAUCCAUCGGGAUCUAAAACCUGAGAAUGUCCUGCUGACCUCUCAUGAGGACGAGUGCCUGAUCAAGAUUACGGAUUUUAACCAGUCCAAGAUCCUGGAGGAGUCGUCUCUGAUGAAGACGCUGUGCGGGACUCCCACGUAUUUAGCUCCUGAGGUUUUCACCGCAGCUUCCACAGGCGGCUACACGCGAGCGGUGGACUGCUGGAGCCUGGGAGUUCUCCUCUUCAUCUGUUUGGGCGGGUAUCCCCCUUUUAAUACGGAGAGCAGCCCCCUCCCCGUCCGGGAGCAGAUAAUAAAUGGACAGUACUGUUUUAUUCGCUCUCAGUGGAAGUCUGUGUCUAACGCGGCUAAAGACUUGGUGAAGAAGCUGCUGGUUGUGGAUCCUGUGAAGAGGAUCAGUAUAUCAGAAGCUCUGCAGCAUCCGUGGCUGAACAAAAAUAAUAAAAAUGGAUUGUUUUGGCUCGUAUUCUGCAGGACGUGGAGAUGAGAAGAACGGCACACACACUGAUGAACCUUGAAAACACCACCCAGGCCACCAAUCCAGCCACGGCAGCUACGGCAGCAUCUGUAGAACCCACACGACCAGCUAGAGCUUCUAAACGAAAAGCAGAAGGAGGAGCAGAAGGAGGAGACACUAAAAGGCGUCCAGCUCCAGACUCUGCACCAUAACCGUCCUAAAACUUCUUAUGUAUAAAUGUAAAUACGUCUCUGUGUAUUUAGUGUUUUUCCAAUAAACUUUUUACACAUUUA